UACGGGGGGGGCAAGCGUUGUUCGGAAUUACUGGGCGUAAAGGGCUCGUAGGUGGCCAACUAAGUCAAACGUGAAAUCCCUCGGCUUAACCGGGGAACUGCGCUUGAUACUGGAUGGCUUGAGAUUGGGAGAGGGAUGCGGAAUUCCAGGUGUAGCGGUGAAAUGCGUAGAUAUCUGGAGGAACACCAAUGGCGAAGGCAGCUCGCUGGGACGUUACUGACGCUGAGACGCGAAAGCGUGGGGAGCAAACAGG
rnacentral:rRNA from 1 species